rnacentral:rRNA from 1 species
AUGUGCCAUGGUGUCCAACGAUUGUUUCAGAUCCAAACCUUUUGCUUUUCCCUAUUAUAUAUUUUAUGCUUUCUUUUGAAGGUGAUCUUAUGAUAUGUAAUGCUGUGGGCGACAUACAUGCUACAAUACUCAAGACAAAUGGUUGCGAUCCUCCAUGUGUGAGGUAACCCCAAAAACCCAUCCUCAGUUUGGAUUGCAGGUUGCAACUUAUUUGCAUAAAGUUGGAAU